CUUCAUUUCCAACGUUCGCAAAACAAUGUCAAGUGAGCUGAGGGUUUUGUAAAUGUGCGCUCUGUGUCCCCGCAAUUUGCUAAUUUAAGUCAUCGGCAUACAGAGCUGUCAACUCUGCGGUGAUCCUGCAAAAGGCACGUGCGUCUGCCUGAUAGAAUCUUCCAAAGCCUUCUAGCUGUAUUUUGGAACCUUACACAGGCGCACACACAGGCACUGACGCGCUCAAACGAACACGCAGCGCACAUUAUAUGGCGAAAAUGGAACAUGCUUUUAUUACGAUUUUCAAAGCAUUUUAUGUACAUAUCAGAUUUGAGCAUAUUUAAGUACUUAAAACAUUGCGGUCAAUCAUGUUCCAUUUUAAGAUAUACUCAGUAAUUGAGCAUUUUUAUUUUCAAAUUAUACCUUAAUUGGGACAAGCUGGGUGUAACCGAUUCUAUUUGCAACCCAUUCAGCCUUUAAUUUAAUUUUUUUUUGUGCAAUGGUGUUAUUACUUAAAGGUUUAAAAUGUUACUAUGAAUUUUCAAACUUAAAGGUAAAAGUGCGAUUUUCACAAUGUUGCAGAUUAAGGUUACGGUAAUUAAUUAAUUUACUUUCUUACAUUAUUUUAAUUUACAUUGUAGUAGUUAUUUCUAUUUUCAACAUUUGUAAGUGUUAUUAUUAAUGCAUCUGAUCCUGUAAAUGGCGAGUAAUUUAUAAAUGUUGUUUGUAUUCGAUCUAAAAGACAGAAGCCAAAGUAAUAUUCAUUAAAAUGUUCUUUAUCUAAAAUAUAUUUUGCACCUUCAAAUCUAAGUAAAAAGAAAAAUUGUAAUAAUAUUUGUUGAAAUUGACCCAAAUUGUCACAAAAUAUGCAUACAUUUUGGAUCUGCAAAUUUUAAGAUGUAUCUUGUCUGUUCAAGUUU